rnacentral:rRNA from 2 species
CACGUAGGAGGCAAGCGUUAUCCGGAUUUACUGGGCGUAAAGCGCGUGUAGGCGGUUCGGUAAGUUGGAUGUGAAAUCUCCUGGCUCAACUAGGAGAGGUCGUUCAAUACUGCCAGACUAGAGGACGGUAGAGGAAGGUAGAAUUCCCGGUGUAGUGGUGAAAUGCGUAGAUAUCGGGAGGAAUACCAGUGGCGAAGGCGGCCUUCUGGGCCGUUCCUGACGCUCAGACGCGAAAGCGUGGGUAGCGAACGGG